rnacentral:rRNA from 1 species
CCUACGGGAGGCAGCAGUGGGGAAUAUUGCACAAUGGGGGAAACCCUGAUGCAGCGACGCCGCGUGAAGGAUGAAGUAUUUCGGUAUGUAAACUUCUAUCAGCAGGGAAGAAAAUGACGGUACCUGACUAAGAAGCCCCGGCUAACUACGUGCCAGCAGCCGCGGUAAUACGUAGGGGGCAAGCGUUAUCCGGAUUUACUGGGUGUAAAGGGAGCGUAGACGGCAUGGCAAGUCUGAUGUGAAAGCCCGGGGCCCAACCCCGGGACUGCCCUUGGAACUGCAUGGCUGGAGUGCGGGAGGGGCAGGCGGAAUUCCUGGUGUAGCGGUGAAAUGCGUAGAUAUCAGGAGGAACACCGGCGGCGAAGGCGGCCUGCUGGACUGCGACUGACGUUGAGGCUCGAAAGCGUGGGGAGCGAACAGGAUUAGAUACCCUAGUAGUC